rnacentral:misc_RNA from 2 species
CCCAACUAUCCCUAUUAAUCAUUACGUCGAUCCUAGAAACCAACAAAAUAGAAUCAAACGUCCUAUUCCGUUAUUCCAUGCUAAUGUAUUCAAGCGUGAGCCUGCUUUAAACACUCUAAUUUUUUCAAAGUAACAGUCCUGAUUCCCUAAAACACCAAAUUAAUGGCAUUAAAGUUCGUCAGAAAGGAGAAACCGAUUAUACCAGUACGUACAAUAGCACGACCAGUAAGCCGGUCUCGAAAUUCAACUACGAGCUUUUUAACUGCAACAACUUUAAUAUACGCUAUUGGAGCUGGAAUUACCGCGGCUGCUGGCACCAGACUUGCCCUCCAA